CAACCUGAUCUGGUCCCCCAAUAUUCGG
rnacentral:sRNA from 1 species